AGAAGACAUGUCUUCUGGAUUGUCUAUGAUGGCAUUAAACAUAAGAAAAGCGUUCAUUAAUGCCAGAAGGGUGAACAGUGCCAAGUUUGGAUAUGAGGCGCAUUUCAUGUCGUUUGCGGCUAUCGUUGCUUCCAGAAAUGGGACAGAGGGCUCGAAUUACCAUAUCUGAAACACUGUGAUUGCCAUUAUUAAAAUGUCUGGCAACAGGUUGGUUAGCAUCAUUGCCAAUAACUGCACGCCGAUGCUCACCAAACCUUGUCCUUAAACAUCUUCCAGUUUCCCCAAUGUAAAGCAUGCCACAUCUGCUGCAAGAGAUGCAGUAGAUGAGAUGGGAGGAGGCGCACGUGAAAUGGUGCUUGAUGUGAAAUUCAGAUUUAGGUGCCGAAACAAUAGUGGUGGAAUCUAUAAAAUCACAGGUUUUACAUUUCGACGACAGGCAAGGAAAAGUGCCUUUCUGUGACGUCGAAGCCUGUGCUAGGGAGCUAUGGACAAGGGUUUCACGGAUAUUUUUGCUGUGUCGAAAAGAGACUAAGGGGUUAUCGGAGAAAAUGGAAGAUGUUUCAGGGUCGUUUUUCAAAAUAUGGAAAUUCUUGUUGAUGACAUCUCUAACUUUGAAAUUGAAAGGAUGAUAGUUUAAUACUAGGGGGAUUUUGUUGUUGCCUGUGACAUUAGACACAGGGUCUGUGAGGGUGUCAGAACGGGGAAUUUGGGAGGCCUUCGAAAAGGCAGUGUCUAAUAGAGAGGUAGGAUAACCACGCUGGACAAAAAAGUGUCUCAUCUCCAGACUUUUGGCCUGAAAAUCUUCGUCUUCACUGCAGAUGCGGCGAAGACGAAGGAACUGAGAGAAGGGAAUCGACCUUUUGGUGUGGUUGGGGUGGGAAGAGGAAAAUAGAAGAUAGCUAUGGGAGUCAGUGGGCUUGUAGAACACAGAAGUAGAUAGUUUGUUACCAUUGAUUGAUACAAGGAUAUCUAAGAAUGAUACACUGGUCUCACUGAUCUCCCAUGUGAACUGGAGUGCUGGAUGAAAAUUAUUAACAAAGUUAAUAAAGCGUUCCAAUUCGACACGAGAACAUGAUGCUGUGCCAAGACAGUCAUCUAUGUACCUACCAAGGUAAUCAGGGAUGGGAUCAGUGUACUGUUCGAAGAUUUGUUUUUCCACAAAACCAACAAACAAAAAGUUGGGUCCCAUUUUAGUUCCCAUUGCUACACCAUUUAUCUGUUGGUAAUGCUCACCAUCAAAGGAAAAAUUGUUGAGGGUAAGCACCAACUCAGCCAAUCGGACCAAAACAGAAGUGGCUGGUUCCUGGUUAGGGCGUUUAUCUAGAAAGAAUUUUAGGGCCCUCAAACCAUCAUGAUGCGGAAUUACAGUGUAUAAGGAUUUGACGUCCAUGGUGAAAAUGAAUUUGUGAGUGCCAUGAAAAUGAAUGUUCUGGAGAAUUUGAAGAGCAUGCUUG